AAUUUUAUAGUUAAUGAGAUAAUAUUAGAAUGCAAUUCUAAAGAAGUAAAAUAUUACUAAAAUUU
rnacentral:tRNA from 1 species